CAUUUAUACUUUAAAUAUUUUUUGUUCUUUUUAUUUUCUAAUGAUAAAGAUUCGUGGCUGUGCUUACAUAUUCAAACACUGGAAACACAAUGACCAAAGACUUACGUGUUACUUUUGGUGCAUUAUGACAAGCUUGAGUGUAACAUUGCCCUGAAAGUUGCCAAUUCUCUAUAGCCAAUUAACCAUUGAGGAGGGACAUGAUAAGUUUGUGGGAUCUUCAGCAUCCUUUGCUCAAGAAUCAUAUGGUGAUAUCUCAUGUGUUUGGAGCAGUUGGUGUUACCCUCACGUGGAGGACCCUAGAGGGGUCCUAUGCUACGGAAAACCCACUGCACUGCCGGCCCUUAGAGAAGCGACUGAUAAUGCUUGUGCAGCGAUCUCAAUGACCAAGGCUCCCCAAGCAGCAGUUUGCCUCACUAAUAUCUGGAAGCUCAUGGCCACCACUCUGAGCAGCUCCUGUAAUUGUAGGGGCCACAGGUAAUGCACUAGUCUCCCGAUAUCUCAAUAUAUUUAGUAUUAAAAUAUUUAUAC
rnacentral:lncRNA from 1 species